rnacentral:misc_RNA from 1 species
GUGAUAUCGCUCUUGCUUAACAAUCUCGUAUUUUCCGAUCGAUUGCGAUUUUUUUUAAAGUAUGAUGACGAUUUGUUGUUAGCUCCAAGGAAGGAUUGGAGUGAAUACAUGGGGUUUUUGAUGAAUGAUUUUGUGAAUUGAUGAAUUUGGGGAUUGGUGAUUGGUAAGGAUGGGGGGAGCUUGCUCGCGGAAGCAGGAUGAUCUGGUUGACGAGGGCGAUUUACGUAGGGGGAUAUUGAGGAGGUACUCCAAGAGCGGAAGCUCGAAAUGGAUUGUCUACUCGCUGCCUCGUUGCAGUUCUGAUGUCAAUCGGAGUGGGCGGGGGAGGUGUCCGUCGCUUAUGGAGCUCUGUGUUGCUAAAGUUUGCGAGGAUAUUAGUAAGUAUCGUAGCUUCUCUAUGCUUCCCAGGGAUAUAAGUCAGCAAAUAUUUAAUGAGCUAGUGGUGUCACGCUGCCUAACGGAUGCGACGCUUGAAUUGUUUCGAGAUUGUGCUCUUCAGGAUAUCCACCUAGGAGAAUACCCGGGAGUGA